rnacentral:rRNA from 1 species
GGAGGUAGUGACAAUAAAUAACAAUGCCGGGCCUUUACAGGUCUGGCAAUUGGAAUGAGAACAAUUUAAAUCCCUUAUCGAGUAUCAAUUGGAGGGCAAGUCUGGUGCCAGCAGCCGCGGUAAUUCCAGCUCCAAUAGCGUAUAUUAAAGUUGUUGCAGUUAAAAAGCUCGUAGUUGGAUUUCUGGCAGGAGCGGCCGGUCGCACACUCUGUGUGUGAACUUGCGCUGUCUCUGGCCAUCCUUGGGGAGAUCCUGUUUGGCAUUAAGUUGUCGGGCAGGGGAUACCCAUCGUUUACUGUGAAAAAAUUAGAGUGUUUAAAGCAGGCUUAUGCCGUUGAAUAUAUUAGUAUGGAAUAAUAAGAUAGGACUUCGGAACUAUUUUGUUGGUUUGCGUUACGAAGUAAUGAUUAAUAGGGACAGUUGGGGGUAUUCGUAUUUCGUUGUCAGAGGUGAAAUUCUUGGAUUUCCGAAAGACGAACUACUGCGAAAGCAUUUACCAAGGAUGUCUUCAUUAAUCAAGAAUGAAAGUUAGGGGAUCGAAGAUGAUUAGAUACCAUUGUAGUCUUAACCAUAAACUAUGCCGACUCAGGAUUCGCAGUUGUUUUUUGACUCUGUGAGCACUGGAUGAGAAAUCAAAGUCUUUGGGUUCCGGGGGGAGUAUGGUCGCAAG